rnacentral:rRNA from 1 species
GUAGUCCACGCCGUAAACGAUGUCGACUUGGAGGUUGUUCCCUUGAGGAGUGGCUUCCGGAGCUAACGCGUUAAGUCGACCGCCUGGGGAGUACGGCCGCAAGGUUAAAACUCAAAUGAAUUGACGGGGGCCCGCACAAGCGGUGGAGCAUGUGGUUUAAUUCGAUGCAACGCGAAGAACCUUACCUACUCUUGACAUCCAGAGAACUUAGCAGAGAUGCUUUGGUGCCUUCGGGAACUCUGAGACAGGUGCUGCAUGGCUGUCGUCAGCUCGUGUUGUGAAAUGUUGGGUUAAGUCCCGCAACGAGCGCAACCCUUAUCCUUUGUUGCCAGCGGUUCGGCCGGGAACUCAAAGGAGACUGCCAGUGAUAAACUGGAGGAAGGUGGGGACGACGUCAAGUCAUCAUGGCCCUUACGAGUAGGGCUACACACGUGCUACAAUGGCGCAUACAAAGAGAAGCGACCUCGCGAGAGCAAGCGGACCUCAUAAAGUGCGUCGUAGUCCGGAUCGGAGUCUGCAACUCGACUCCGUGAAGUCGGAAUCGCUAGUAAUCGUAGAUCAGAAUGCUACGGUGAAUA